rnacentral:rRNA from 1 species
UUGAAGAAUUAAAUUAACUUAGUGGCGGACGGGCGAGUAACACGUGAGCAACCUGCCUCUUACAGGGGAAUAACAACGGGAAACCGUUGCUAAUACCGCAUAACAUGUUAAAAGGGCAUCCUUUUAACAUCAAAGGAGUAAUCCGGUAAGAGAUGGGCUCGCGUCCGAUUAGCUAGUUGGUAGGGUAACGGCCUACCAAGGCGACGAUCGGUAGCCGGACUGAGAGGUCGAACGGCCGCAUUGGGACUGAGACACGGCCCAGACUCCUACGGGAGGCAGCAGAA